CUACGGGGUGCUCCAGUGAGGAAUUUUGCGCAAUGGGGGAAACCCUGACGCAGCAACGCCGCGUGAGUGAAGAAGGCUUUCGGGUCGUAAAGCUCUGUCAGAUAGGAAAAAAGUUCAUAUGUAAAUAGCUUAUGAAUCUGAUGGUACUAUCAGAGGAAGCACCGGCUAACUCCGUGCCAGCAGCCGCGGUAAUACGGAGGGUGCAAGCGUUGUUCGGAAUUACUGGGCGUAAAGGGCGUGUAGGCGGUAUGGUAAGUCAGAUGUGAAAGCCCUGGGCUUAACUCAGGAAGUGCAUUUGAUACUGCCAUCCUUGAGUAUGGGAGAGGAGAGUAGAAUUCCCAGUGUAGAGGUGAAAUUCGUAGAUAUUGGGAGGAAUACCCGUGGCGAAGGCGACUCUCUGGACCAAUACUGACGCUGAGACGCGAAAGCGUGGGGAGCAAACAGGAUUAGAUACCCCGGUAGUC
rnacentral:rRNA from 1 species